GCCCGGGUGGUGGAAUUUGGUAGACACGCAAGCUUGAGGUGCUUGUGCCUAUUGCUGGUGUGGGGGUUCAAGUCCCCCCUCGGGCA
rnacentral:tRNA from 1 species